UGUCCUCCAUAGGAGGUCUAUAUUGAGCAGAUUCUUUUUGGUAUUGGGUGGUGGAACCGGAGCGUGCUCCAUUCACUCCAUGCAUUGACCUGGUAUUGCAGUGCUUCCAGGACCGGUGC
rnacentral:snRNA from 1 species